rnacentral:rRNA from 1 species
UACGUAGGGACCGAGCGUUGUCCGGAAUCAUUGGGCGUAAAGAGCGUGUAGGCGGCUAUUUAAGUCCUGCGUGAAAUCCUGCGGCUCAACCGCAGACGGUCGUGGGAAACUGGAUGGCUAGAGUGCGGGAGAGGAGAGUGGAAUUCCCGGUGUAGCGGUGAAAUGCGCAGAUAUCGGGAAGAACGACCCGUGGCGCAAGGCGGCUACUCUGAACGCAACUGGACGCUGAGACGCGAAAGCGUGGGGAGC